GUGCCAGCCGCCGCGGUAAUACGGAGGGUGCAAGCGUUGUCCGGAUUUAUUGGGUUUAAAGGGUGCGUAGGCGGAUGAUUAAGUCAGUGGUGAAAGCCGACAGCUCAAUUGUCGAACCGCCAUUGAUACUGGUUAUCUUGAGUAUAGUUGAGGCAGGCGGAAUUUACGAUGUAGCAGUGAAAUGCAUAGAUAUCGUAAAGAACACCUAUAGCGAAGGCAGCUUGCUAAACUAUAACUGACGCUGAGGCACGAAAGCAUGGGGAGCGAACAGGAUUAGAAACCCGAGUAGUCC
rnacentral:rRNA from 1 species